AGACCUCCUUCCAGAUCACCCUUGACAGGACGAUCACCCUCUGCUCUCCCCUCUACACACACUUACGCAUGCACACGCGCGCGCACUCUCGCGCGCGCGCACACACACACACACACACACACACACUAAGUAGCAACAGUAGAGCCAGGCUCUGAAGGCUCCGGUUGGUCUCAUCCACACUGUGCAGAGAAGGAAACUGAAUCAAAGGCUUCUGUCUCAUUCUAGGUCUGGAGUUAAGGUGCCGAAUGCAAGUUGAACCUCAAGAAAAAGGGGAAAUUAAACAGAUCUGUACAAGCCACUGUGUGCAGCCCAGAGUCCUCUCUGCAGUAGCCCGAAGUUUGAUUCAAAGGAUCCACGUGGGGCUCAUAACACUGUGCAACUUCAGUCUCUGAGGAAUCAGCGAUGUGUUCUACACUAUCCUGGGACCAGUUGUAUACUCUUCACUAAAAUCAUGCACACAGCCAAAAUGGCUAUUGAAAGAAAAUUCAUGAUGUUUAAGAAUAGGGAAGCUUUACUAAUAAGGGAGAGUUUAGUUUAUGCCUAGGAAGCUUGAAACACAGAAUACUGAAAUGAGGACGUGUUGUAUGUGGUAUUUUGAAUAUCAGCUAGAGGAGGAUGUAGGGGAGGGGAGAGUGGGGAGUCAUGGGCAACUUGGGAUGGUAUGGGAAGCCUGGAGGAGACAGGAGAGAAGUUGUCUAUGAAGGUGAGACAGAGCAUGAAGUGGAGGCUUGGGUUUGGGCAAAGAAGUCUUAUGAGGAAGGCAAGAUGUAAAGUGUGGGCAGGAGGGCAGGGGAAUAGGGAUACGGGUAGCAAGCUCCAAGAGGUUCCCAGGGUCAGGGGAAGUAAGUGGACGGGAGCAGAGAGCAGGAGAGUUGCAGGCUGGGGAUGAGGAGCAAAUGUUCCUGAGGAUUGUAUGAGGCUAUGGGAAGGCAGAAGGAUGGUGACAAAAAAGAAGAAUCAGAAAAGGGAAAAGCAGAAGCCUGGGGAACAUGUUAGUAGGUGGAUGAGGAGGGGAACAAGUGGGGAUAUACAAGGACAUACAAGCAAGAAAGCAAGUGGGGAUAUACAAGGACAGGGCAUGAUCCAUGUCAUUUAUAGGAUUGCAAGGUUGCAAGUGAUGACAAGAUUCUCGAAGAUUAGAAAUGUUCAGUGUCAGGGUGGGAUGUUUGAUCAAGGGUAGGAAUCUAGGGCAGUUAAGAGGGCUGUGAAGAUGGAAAGAGGUUCACGAGAAGAGUAGGACAUUGGGUUCCAGAAGCAGUCCCAGGGUGUCUAGAUUCUACAUAUCAGUCUGGGGAUCCAGUUUCAGCUUGGGAGGCAGAAGGUAGUAAGGAAGAAUGGUGGCUACAGUAGGUCAGGCGGCUACAGUAGCCUGGGUGAAGAUCAACACUUGGGUUGAAAUGUCAGAGGUUCAGUGGUACAAGAGCAAACGGCUGGGUGGAAGGUUAAGGUCUCAGGACUCGUUGGCCAGAGGCUCAGAAGAGUCAGAAGUGUAGGACUCAGCUCUAUGUAGAGAUACCUAAAGGAGGGCCACUAUCUGUGGGGGAUGGCAAGACUGUAGUCAGGAGGACAGGAGCUCUUCUCAGGGUGUGCCUAGGGGGACAGAGGUAGUCAGGAUUUAGAGAGGGGUCAGAGCACUAGGAGGAUAACAGUAUGGCCUGUUGGGAGUGAAGAUUACCAGACUGGAGAGGAAGAGCAUAGGGGCUGUAGAGGCUGUGAGGAUGUCCACUGACUGUGGAAGUGUACAAUCCUGAGGGAAAGUCAGAGACUGUCUGAGGGAGCAGUGCUGCUGAGAGCGCAGAAGUCACUCAGAGUACAGAACACUGGGGAGGAAGGCUGGAGACUGAGACACUGGGAGGCUUGGAGGGAAGGAAGGCCCAAAGCUUGAUGCCAAAUACCUCCAUGGGAUGAACAAUGGUCUGCAACUCCAUUUCCAGGGCACCCGAGGUACCUUUCUGCCCUAUUCUGGGACCAGAAAUGCAGUUGCUGCUUGGAACACACACACAAGUACAACAGCCUUUCAUAAAAAAUGUGUAAUGAAGCUUAAGAGAGGCAAUUUUUUUUAAUCCUUUUGGAAGAAUGUCUACACAUGUGAUGGUUGGCGAACUAAGUACUGAAAGAAGGUUCUAGUAAGGGA